UACGGAGGAUGCGAGCGUUGUCCGGAUUUAUUGGGUUUAAAGGGUGCGUAGGCGGAUCGUUAAGUCAGUGGUCAAAUUGAGGGGCUCAACCCCUUCCCGCCAUUGAAACUGGCGAUCUUGAGUGGAAGAGAAGUAUGCGGAAUGCGUGGUGUAGCGGUGAAAUGCAUAGAUAUCACGCAGAACCCCGAUUGCGAAGGCAGCAUGCCGGCUUCCGACUGACGCUGAAGCACGAAAGCGUGGGGAUCGAACAGG
rnacentral:rRNA from 1 species